rnacentral:lncRNA from 1 species
AGAAUUUUCUCCUAGUGCCUGUCAUAAGAGGUAAGGCAAGAUCCAGACAUCUCUCUGUUAUCCUCAAACACUAAUCUCCUUAAUGAUAGUUCAACUUCUCUUUCUUUUCGGUUGCAUUACUUGUCAAGUAUAACAUGUCUGUACAAUGAUUAUGUUGUAUCGCUUCCGAAGAUGAAGAAAAGCCGGCACACUUAACUGAAUCAAAGCUCUUUUCUUUGAGAACUUAAAGUGAAUCAUUCUUAGUUUCAUCAAUUGAAUUUGCUUGUGAUAGAUAAACCUCGAAAUUUAGAUCUACUAGCUUUACAACAAAAGAAUGCAUCUUUUUUGUUACAGAGGAUAGCUUGAAGGAGAAGUUGGAGGAUCAACGCAAAGGUAACUAUGUCAUUACCAGUGAAAUUCUCGAAGACAUCAUGGAGGAGUCCAUAAGGCUUUUCUGGGAAUUUGUCAAGGCAGACAAGGAUGAAACGCCGGGGAUUCUGAAAGGUUUAAUGGGAACUCAUGUUCAACCUCAUGAUCCUUCUGACUCCAAGUUCAUGGCAGACAUCCAUUCCAAAUUGCACAAGGUAGAUUAUAAUCUUCAUUUUAUUUAAUUAUUGUAAGAAGAAACAACGAAGCCGCCUUCGUUCUUAAGCAGCUAAUUGCAUAAAUUUUACUAACCUUGUCAUUAGCUAAUAGGCCAUGAAUUAGUGCUUUGUUGUUGAGGUGAUGAAAACUCUCCUUUCCUUUCCAAUAAGAGUGAAAUGUUCCUAAACUCUGUCUCCAACCAAAAUGAGAAGCUUAUGUUAAGGCUCCAUAAGCCAGCUAUUCUUACCUGAACAAAGAUCAUGCAACAAAGAGUAGAUAUAAGACUGAAGCAUCCAUUUGAUCUAAUCACUGACACUGCUAUGUUUUCUUGCUGUUCAGAAAGAAAGGAAACUAAAAGACAUUUUGCGAACCGGAAAUUGCCUAGUCAAGAAGUUCAAAAAACCCAAAGAAGACAGAUCAAACCAGGAUAUCUUCUUCUCUCAAGUAGACCUGAAGCUGGUGGCACGAGUCCUCCGAAUGUCUAGAAUUACAACAGAUCAGCUGGUGUGGUGCCAUGCCAAACUGAGCAACAUCAG